rnacentral:tRNA from 1 species
ACUUCGGAAAGAGAGG